AUUUAACGCUGGCGGCAGGCCUAACACAUGCAAGUCGAACGAGUGGCGGCCGGGUGAGUAAUGUCUGGGAAACUGCCUGAUGGAGGGGGAUAACUACUGGAAACGGUAGCUAAUACCGCAUACCAUCAGAUUUUCCCCUAUGGUAUUCGCUUGUUGGUGGGGUAACGGCUCACCAAGGCGACGAUCCCUAGCGGGCCUGAGAGGAGGACAAGACACACUGGAACGGAGACACGGUCCAGACGCCUACGGGAGGCAGAAGUGGGGAAUAUUGCACAAUGGGAGCAAGCCUGAGAUAUGCAUGAUGGGUGUAUGAAGAAGGCCUUCGGGUUGUAAAGUACUUUCAGCGGGGAGGCGGUACCCGAAGAAGAAGCACCGGCUAACUCCGUGCCAGCAGCCGCGGUAAUUC
rnacentral:rRNA from 1 species